UUCCCGGUGUAGCGGUGAAAUGCGUAGAUAUCGGGAAGAACACCAGUGGCGAAGGCGCUCUGCUGGGCCAUUACUGACGCUCAUGGACGAAAGCCAGGGGAGCGAAAGGGAUUAGAUACCCCUGUAGUCCUGGCCGUAAACGAUGAACACUAGGUGUCGGGGGAAUCGACCCCUUCGGUGUCGUAGCUAACGCGUUAAGUGUUCCGCCUGGGGAGUACGCACGCAAGUGUGAAACUCAAAGGAAUUGACGGGGGCCCGCACAAGCGGUGGAGUAUGUGGUUUAAUUCGAUGCAACGCGAAGAACCUUACCAGGGUUUGACAUCCUGCGAACCUCUUAGAAAUUUGAGGGUGCCUUCGGGAAUGCAGUGACAGGUGGUGCAUGGCUGUCGUCAGCUCGUGUCGUGAGAUGUUGGGUUAAGUCCCGCAACGAGCGCAACCCACGUUUUUAGUUGCCAGCAUUUAGUUGGGCACUCUAGAAAGACCGCCGGUGAUAAACCGGAGGAAGGUGUGGAUGACGUCAAGUCAUCAUGCCCCUUACACCCUGGGCUACACACGUACUACAAUGCUACGGACAAAGGGCAGCAAACUCGCGAGAGCUAGCAAAUCCCAUAAACCGUGGCUCAGUUCAGAUCGUAGGCUGCAACUCGCCUACGUGAAGUAGGAAUCGCUAGUAAUCGCAGGUCAGCAUACUGCGGUGAAUACGUUCCCGGGCCUUGUACACACCGCCCGUCACACCAUGGAAGUUGGCCAUGCCCGAAGUCGUUACUCCAACCCUUGUGGAGGAGGACGCCGAAGUGGGGCUAAUGACUGGGGUGAAGUCGUAACAAGGUAGCCGUACCGGAAGGUG
rnacentral:rRNA from 1 species